rnacentral:rRNA from 1 species
GAAUACAUAGUGGCAUGAGGCGAACCGGGGGAACUGAAACAUCUAAGUACCCCGAGGAAAAGAAAUCAACCGAGAUUCCCCCAGUAGCGGCGAGCGAACGGGGAGGAGCCCAGAACCUGAAUCGGCUUGUGUGUUAGUGGAAGCGUCUGGAAAGUCGCGCAGUAAAGGGUGAUAGCCCCGUACACUAAAAUGCACAGGUCGUGAGUUCGAUGAGUAGGGCGGGACACGUGACAUCCUGUCUGAAUAUGGGGGGACCAUCCUCCAAGGCUAAAUACUCCUGACUGACCGAUAGUGAACCAGUACCGUGAGGGAAAGGCGAAAAGAA